rnacentral:rRNA from 1 species
UGGGCGAAAGCCUGACCGAGCGACGCCGCGUGCGGGAUGAAGGUCUUCGGGUUGUAAACCGCUGUCGUUGGGGAGGAAGUGCAGGGGGGUUCUCCCCUCUGUUUGACCUAUCCAAGGAGGAAGUACGGGCUAAGUUCGUGCCAGCAGCCGCGGUAAGACGAACCGUACGAACGUUAUUCGGAAUUACUGGGCUUAAAGGGUGCGUAGGCGGCGCGGUAAGUUGGGUGUGAAAGCCCUCAGCUCAACUGAGGAACUGCACUCAAAACUACCGUGCUUGAGGGAGACAGAGGUAAGCGGAACUCAAGGUGGAGCGGUGAAAUGCGUUGAUAUCUUGAGGAACACCGGUGGCGAAGGCGGCUUACUGGGUCUUUUCUGACGCUGAGGCACGAAAGCUAAGGUAGCAAACGGGAUUAGAUACCCCGGUAGUCUUAGCUGUAAACGAUGAGCACUUGUUUGAAGGGUCCUCCAUAGCCUUUCAGACGUAGCGAAAGUGUUAAGUGCUCCGCCUGGGGA